rnacentral:tRNA from 1 species
ACCUGACUAUCACAGUUGGUAGAGCAUGUGACUCUUGAUCUCAGGGUCAUGAGUUCAAGUCACAUGUUGGGUG